rnacentral:misc_RNA from 1 species
AAGUCGUAACAAGGUUUCCGUAGGUGAACCUGCGGAAGGAUCAUUAACACGUAUCCAAACGUUAAAACCCCCCCCGUGAACCUUCAUCCUGCUCUUGUAAAUCAUAGCCCGGAAAGUUGUAGUGAUUCGGAGCUGCGAACAUUGGAACAGUUACAAUCGAGCGGUAGUUCUAUAGGCAAUGUUUCCCCAAGCAGUCAGUGUCGGAAAGUGUCAUUGAUUGUGCAAGGAUAGCGCUUCUACGAUUCCUGUAGACCGUACACUCGGGCAGGAGCUUUGCCAAAGGGUCCCCAUGCCCCCUAAUAACCCCACAGUUUAAUGUGAAGCUCAAUGUAAUACAUUGGGUAAAAAAACCGAACAACUGUUAACAAUGGAUAUCUUGGUUCUC